rnacentral:rRNA from 1 species
CCUACGGGAGGCAGCAGUGGGGAAUAUUGGACAAUGGGGGCAACCCUGAUCCAGCCAUGCCGCAUGUGUGAAGAAGGCCCUCGGGUUGUAAAGCACUUUCAGUGAGGAAGAACGCCUGGUGGUUAAUACCCAUCAGGAAAGACAUCACUCACAGAAGAAGCACCGGCUAACUCCGUGCCAGCAGCCGCGGUAAUACGGAGGGUGCGAGCGUUAAUCGGAAUUACUGGGCGUAAAGCGCGCGUAGGUGGCUUGAUAAGCCGGUUGUGAAAGCCCCGGGCUCAACCUGGGAACGGCAUCCGGAACUGUCAAGCUAGAGUGCAGGAGAGGAAGGUAGAAUUCCCGGUGUAGCGGUGAAAUGCGUAGAGAUCGGGAGGAAUACCAGUGGCGAAGGCGGCCUUCUGGACUGACACUGACACUGAGGUGCGAAAGCGUGGGUAGCAAACAGGAUUAGAUACCCCGGUAGUC